rnacentral:rRNA from 1 species
AUUGAACGCUGGCGGCAGGCCUAACACAUGCAAGUCGAGCGGAGCGGCGGACGGGUGAGUAAUGCCUAGGAAUCUGCCUGGUAGUGGGGGAUAACGUCCGGAAACGGGCGCUAAUACCGCAUACUAUCAGAUGAGCCUAGGUCGGAUUCGCUAGUUGGUGGGGUAAAGGCCUACCAAGGCGACGAUCCGUAACUGUGCUGUGAGAAUGAUCAGUCACACUGGAACUGAAACACGGUCAAUACUCCUACGGGAGGCAGCAGUGAGCAAUAUUGGACAAUGGGCUAGAGCCUGAUCCAGCCAUGCCGCGGUUAUGACGACGGUCUUCGGAUUGUAAAGUACUUUAAGUUGGGAGUCGUUACCAAAAGAAUAAGCACCGGCCAACUUCGUGCCAGCAGCCGCGGUAAUUC